AAGGUUUUAAGUUAAAAAAACUAAUAAUCUUCAAAAUUAUAUAUAAAGAAAUUAUUCUUUAAGCCUUA
rnacentral:tRNA from 2 species